UUGAACGCUGGCGGCAGGCCUAACACAUGCAAGUCGAACGGUAACAGGAAGAAGCUUGCUUCUUUGCUGACGAGUGGCGGACGGGUGAGUAAUGUCUGGGAAACUGCCUGAUGGAGGGGGAUAACUACUGGAAACGGUAGCUAAUACCGCAUAACGUCGCAAGACCAAAGAGGGGGACCUUCGGGCCUCUUGCCAUCGGAUGUGCCCAGAUGGGAUUAGCUAGUAGGUGGGGUAACGGCUCACCUAGGCGACGAUCCCUAGCUGGUCUGAGAGGAUGACCAGCCACACUGGAACUGAGACACGGUCCAGACUCCUACGGGAGGCAGCAGUGGGGAAUAUUGCACAAUGGGCGCAAGCCUGAUGCAACCAUGCCGCGUGUAUGAAGAAGGCCUUCGGGUUGUAAAGUACUUUCAGCGGGGAGGAAGGGAGUAAAGUUAAUACCUUUGCUCAUUGACGUUACCCGCAGAAGAAGCACCGGCUAACUCCGUG
rnacentral:rRNA from 1 species